GUUCUGUACGUCACUGCGUUCGCGACUGACGUUCGAGUCUAGUGAGGAGGAUGAAGACUUCACUCCUGAUGGUGUUCUGCCUGCUCAACUCCUCCGUCGCUAAUUGCCAUCACAGCAGCCAGUCAGACAGCGAUGAGAGCGGCUUGCGUUUCCCAUGGCUCGGACCCUGGUCUUUCCCCUUCUGGCAUCUGUUUCCGGGUCUGAUACCACAGCCGCCGGUGCCACCUCCAGCGCCACCGACAGUGCAGGCCACCACCGAAAGCC